rnacentral:rRNA from 1 species
CCGAGUUUACAACUCCCAAACCCAAUGUGAACGUUACCAAACUGUUGCCUCGGCGGGGUCACGCCCCGGGUGCGUCGCAGCCCCGGAACCAGGCGCCCGCCGGAGGAACCAACCAAACUCUUUCUGUAGUCCCCUCGCGGACGUAUUUCUUACAGCUCUGAGCAAAAAUUCAAAAUGAAUCAAAACUUUCAACAACGGAUCUCUUGGUUCUGGCAUCGAUGAAGAACGCAGCGAAAUGCGAUAAGUAAUGUGAAUUGCAGAAUUCAGUGAAUCAUCGAAUCUUUGAACGCACAUUGCGCCCGCCAGUAUUCUGGCGGGCAUGCCUGUCCGAGCGUCAUUUCAACCCUCGAACCCCUCCGGGGGAUCGGCGUUGGGGAUCGGGACCCCUCACACGGGUGCCGGCCCCGAAAUACAGUGGCGGUCUCGCCGCAGCCUCUCCUGCGCAGUAGUUUGCACAACUCGCACCGGGAGCGCGGCGCGUCCACGUCCGUAAAACACCCAACUUUCUGAAAUGUUGACCUCGGAUCAGGUAGGAAUACCCGCUGAACUUAAGCAUAUCAUAGGCGGGAGGAA